ACCGUGGUGGGUGCCCAGAGAGGCCCCUCACUGAGGUUGGGAUGGGGAGCUUAGGCCAAGUACACAGUUGUAGGUAACGUGGCUGUUCUGAGCCCACCAGUACCCCUCCUUGUUGCCCAUCUUAUUGUCUCACAGAUUUCCCCCAACCCCUCUGGUAAGGGGCACAGGGAAGAGGCCCAGUUGGGCGAGUAUCAGGCUAUGGAUGAGGUGCAGUUUGUCGGUUCUCUCCCCAGGGUCAGCCAUGCCAAGGGAGCCUGCUCUGCUUCUGAGAAUUGGCUCCUCUGCAGUGGACUACAGAAGUUUCAUAAUUUCAUUGCUUAAACAGCAUGUGUCUGAUACUUUUUAACAUGCCUGAAUGUAAUCCUGGGUGCACUGCUGUGCAACUGAUUUGUGAAAAGGCAAUAUUUGCCAGGUAUGUCCCCAAGUUACUGGGCUGAGCUCUCCCUCCCCGCCCCCCUCUACAACUUUUCACAUAGGCCACUAAAUAGCAAUUACAGAACAGCCACCUUCAGUCACUGCAUCCCUGGGCCAGAUUUGAACCAGCAAAAUGGCGUUCAGAUCCCACGGUGAUUGGUGGACAUCAGAAACACCUAGAUAGCCCUGGCAACUGUGCUGAGUGAGCAUUCGAAUUAGUACUACCAGUAUUCUCCACGUGGUGGCAGCAGACAAACAUCUCAUGCUUUAGGAAAACCAAAAGCUCUCCUUUUCAAUAUGAGAGCCAGAUUCAAGGGCUCUACUCCAAAUUGUUUUUGUGAUACAGGCAUCUAUCCACCAGGACCUGCACAGAGAAAUCUCACAUUAUUUCACACAGCCCCUGGAUGAACUGUUGUCGUGAUUUUUGGUCUGAGAAGAGGAAGUGUUGUCUAUUGGUUAGCGCAAAGAACUGACCAACAGGACAGCUUCUAGCCUUGGUGCUGCCACCUUGGACAAGGUUACUUCUGUGCCUUAGUUCUUCCAGCUGUACAAGAGGGAUAAUAAUCCUCAUGGAACUUGCCUGGGUGGUGAGGCAUACUUAACUGUGAUAAUGGUGAUGUUUGGAGAUCUUCACAUGAAAGGUG